rnacentral:pre_miRNA from 13 species
CUAGAAGAUUCCUCUCUUCUCUUUGCUUUCAGCUUCUUUACAGUGUUGCCUUGUGGCAUGGAGUUCAAGCAGCAUUGUACAGGGCUAUCAAAGCCUAGAGAGCGGCAGCAGAGGCCAGAA